rnacentral:rRNA from 1 species
ACGUAGGGGGCUAGCGUUAUCCGGAAUUACUGGGCGUAAAGGGUGCGUAGGUGGUUUCUUAAGUCAGAGGUGAAAGGCUACGGCUCAACCGUAGUAAGCCUUUGAAACUGGGAAACUUGAGUGCAGGAGAGGAGAGUGGAAUUCCUAGUGUAGCGGUGAAAUCCUUAGAUCCUAGGAGGACCACCUGUUGCGAAGGCGUCUCUCCGGACUGUAACUGACACUGAGGCACGAAAGCGUGGGGAGCAAACAG